rnacentral:rRNA from 1 species
UACGGGGGGUGCUAACGUUGUCCGGAAUUAUUGGGCGUAAAGAGCUCGUAGGCGGUUCGGUAAGUCGGGUGUGAAACUUUGGGCUUAACCCAAAGACUGCACUCGAUACUGCUGUGACUUGAGUCCGGUAGGGGAGUGGGGAAUUCCUGGUGUAGCGGUGGAAUGCGCAGAUAUCAGGAGGAACACCGGUGGCGAAGGCGCCACUCUGGGCCGGUACUGACGCUGAGGAGCGAAAGCGUGGGGAGCGAACAGG